AGUAGUUGGCUAAAAAUCUACGAGUUAAAUGUGGUCAAGAUUACUGCAAUACAAUUUAACGCAGCCUGAAAUGGCAACAAAUAUUGAAAAGAAAUCAUUGCUGCAAACUGUAAAGUAUUUGAUCACGUCGUUCAAUGCUAGAUAAAGUCUGGUCCUAUUUGAUUUUCGUUAUUAUGUUAUCAAUAAUGGUACAUUCCAUUCGCAUCAAUCGUGCCAGGUGUACCGUAUAGCAAAGGCUACAUCUGUUGAGUGCGGGGAUUCUUUAAACGUGAAGAUUUCACAAAUAGACAGCGUAUUGGCAAAUGAGCACAAAUGUUGAUAAGAUAGUUCACUCAAUAACUGAUAGGUAGGUGAAGCACUUUCGAUAAUGAUAUCUUCUUGUUUGAACCUCGCCUUGAUUGCAUGCAUUCAACCAGCGUUAACCGAUAGUAAUAGCAAAUUUACAACCCGUUUUUUUCAUGAGCGCAUGUAUAAAAAAUCGAUUGCUACUGAUUAUCACAUCAAUCACCGCAGCUUCCUGCACAUAGAGCUAAUUUAGUACUAGUUGAUGGUACUAUAUAUUACCUUACCUUUCGUAGGAUGACUCAUAAUCACUAACUUUUGUGCAUUUGAUUUGAUUUUUUAAGGUUAUGCGUUAUCAAAAUUUCGGAACAUCCAGGUAAAGGUGAAACACAUCCGGGGGUAGGACGAGGAAAGCACCUGAAUUCUGUCAAAAGAGGAUACGCGGUAGCGCAUCAAGAUAUGCACCGGAAAGGAACAAUCUUGCACCCUCAUGGAGAAAAACUGGCUAAAUUAGAGUAAUACCUAAAUUUAUUCUCUCCAGGUGCUAUACUGUUCCUGUUGCCAUGCAUUUGCGGGUGCUCAUGUAUUCCCGCUCCCUCCUAUCACAGCUUCGAGGACCUACCUUAACAAGUCCCAACACAGAUGAAGCUUAAAUGAUAAUCGAUGCAAUAAAAAGUCGAAAGCCACCAGGCUUAACUGGUCUGAUUUAUA